rnacentral:rRNA from 1 species
GAUGAACGCUGGCGGCGUGCCUAAUACAUGCAAGUCGAGCGAACAGAUGAGGAGCUUGCUCCUCUGACGUUAGCGGCGGACGGGUGAGUAACACGUGGAUAACCUACCUAUAAGACUGGGAUAACUUCGGGAAACCGGAGCUAAUACCGGAUAAUCUAUUUAACCGCAUGUUUCAAUAGUGAAAGACGGUUUUGCUGUCACUUAUAGAUGGAUCCGCGCCGCAUUAGCUAGUUGGUAAGGUAACGGCUUACCAAGGCAACGAUGCGUAGCCGACCUGAGAGGGUGAUCGGCCACAAUGGAACUGAGACACGGUCCAGACUCCUACGGGAGGCAGCAGUAGGGAAUCUUCCGCAAUGGGCGAAAGCCUGACGGAGCAACGCCGCGUGAGUGAUGAAGGUCUUCGGAUCGUAAAACUCUGUUAUUAGGGAAGAACAAAUGUGUAAGUAACUAUGCACGUCUUGACGGUACCUAAUCAGAAAGCCACGGCUAACUACGUG